rnacentral:rRNA from 1 species
AGAACGAACGCUGGCGGCAGGCCUCAAACAUGCAAGUCUAGGGGGUGUAGCAAUACAUCACCGGCGGACGGGUGCGUAACGCGUGGGAAUGUACCUAUUGGUUCGGAACAACUGAGGGAAACUUCAGCUAAUACCGGAUGAGCCCGAAAGGGGAAAGAUUUCUCGCCAAUAGAUCAGCCCGCGUCCGAUUAGCUAGUUGGUGGGGUUAAAGCCUACCAAGGCGACGAUCGGUAGCUGUUCUGAGAGGAAGAUCAGCCACGCUGGGACUGAGACACGGCCCAGACUCCUACGGGAGGCAGCAGUUGGGAAUCUUGGACAAUGGGGAAACCCUGAUCCAGCCAUGCCGCGUGAGUGAUGAAGGCCUUCGGGUUGUAAAACUCUUUCGACGGGACGAUAAUGACGGUACCCGUAGAAGAAGCUCCGGCUAACUUCGCGCCAGCAGCCGC